GCCUAGAUAGCUCAGUUGGGAGAGCGUUAGACUGAAGAUCUAAAGGUCCCCGGUUCGAUUCCGGGUCUGGGCA
rnacentral:tRNA from 2 species